GCUGCGCUAGUAUAGUGGUUAGUACUCCACGUUGUGGCCGUGGCGACCCUGGUUCGAUUCCAGGGCGCAGCA
rnacentral:tRNA from 1 species